UAGGGAAUCUUCGGCAAUGGGGGGAACCCUGACCGAGCAACGCCGCGUGAGUGAAGAAGGUUUUCGGAUCGUAAAGCUCUGUUGUUAAGGAAGAACGAGUGUGAGAAUGGAAAGUUCAUACUGUGACGGUACUUAACCAGAAAGGGACGGCUAACUACGUGCCAGCAGCCGCGGUAAUACGUAGGUCCCGAGCGUUGUCCGGAUUUAUUGGGCGUAAAGCGAGCGCAGGCGGUUAGAUAAGUCUGAAGUUAAAGGCAGUGGCUCAACCAUUGUAGGCUUGGGAAACUGUUUAACUAGAGUGCAGAAGGGGAGAGUGGAAUUCCAUGUGUAGCGGUGAAAUGCGUAGAUAUAUGGAGGAACACCGGUGGCGAAAGCGGCUCUCUGGUCUGUAACUGACGCUGAGGCGCGAAAGCGUGGGGAGCGAACAGG
rnacentral:rRNA from 1 species